rfam:Bacteroides sp. CAG:20 genomic scaffold, scf150
GGUGCCAUAGCUCAGUUGGUAGAGCAAAGGACUGAAAAUCCUUGUGUCACUGGUUCGAUUCCCGUUGGCACCA